CCAUUUUUUUUUUUUUCAAGAAGAGUGUUUUUUUUUUCAGAUUUAUCUCCCUCCCUCUCUUGAUUUCUCUCCCUAAUCCGUGCCCGGCACCAGAUCCGGCCCCAGAUCCGGCCCCAGAUUUGCGCCCGGCCCCAGAUCUGGCCCCAGAUCCUCGCCGGCGUGAUCCGGCAAAGACGGAUCCCGCCGGCUUGGCCGGAUCCGCGCCGGCGAGCUUCGGCUUUGCCGGAUCCAGCCUCGGAUCCGCCUUUGAGCCGGAUCCGGGCAUGGAUCACGCCAGCGGGAUUCGGCAAAGUCGGAUCCCGCCGUCUUGGCCGGAUCGGAGCCGACAGGGGAAUCGAAUGCAUGUCUCUACCUUUAGCAGACAUGUUAAUUAUCAUAAAUCUGCAUGAUCUUUAAGUUAAAAAAAGAUCAACAAUGGCAUUAUAGUGUUCUCCACAACAUUAAUAUAUGGAUUUUCUGAAACAAAGCCUUCUAUGUGUUCCACCAUUCUUGCAUCAUGACCUCUAUUUUAGGUGGUUGUGCUUCUACAACUAAUUUCCACAAUUAGAAAACAAAUAGUGCUUAUAAAUUAUUAACAUUGGUAAAGUUCUUUGGUUAGUUGUUGUCCAAUACAUAGUUUAGAAAAUGGGCUUUUACAUUUAUAUCUCUCUGCAAACACAGCUAUUUACAUAUAUAUGUUCCAUUGUAAACUUUGAACUUUCAUAUACUUCUCAAAAAAUGCUCUUUCUUAUAGAAAGAGCCAUAUUUUACAUUGGAGAGUUAUCCAAUUCAUAGGGUAGAUGGUUUAGUAUCUGGAAAGGUUUACCUAGUAGAUGGUAGUUGGUAGUAGAUGGUAGUUUACAUUGGAGAGUUAUCCAAUUUAUAUACUCGAAUUUUCCAGUGUGUUGUUAAAAUAGCAUUCAGAACAAACCAAAAUUCUAGUAGAUGGUAGUUUUAGUAUUUCGAACUUUCUUCAAGUUUGGAACUUGAAGAAGCAUCAAGCAAUUUUGAAUCUAACUCUUGUUCUACUAUCUCUUUGUUACGAAAAUUGAUUAUGCCUUCCUUUCUGGUCACUCCCAAGCACCAUGAAAGAACACUAGUAGUUUACAUGCUAUGAAAAUCACUUUUAGGCCUAUACCUGCAAACACCCAACAAAUUCAAUGGGUACAACUCAACUUUUGAGUACAAUAUGUGUUGGAAGGGAAAUGAAUGCAUGCAUCUAGGAAUUUAUUUUCAGUGAUUAUUUUGUGAAAUUUAUUGUAUAAAUGUAUCAAUUAUUUAGUGACUUUUUAUUUGUAUUUAUCUUUUAAUUCAUAUUUGUUUACUAGAAAUCUGAAAGAUGAAUUCAUCACAAGGAGAACCAUCUACCCAAAAAGAAAAAAAAAAUUAAAGCUACGUGGGAUGCAACGUUGCUUAAAUUUUUUUGCGAAAUAUGUGUUGAAGAGGUUAAUGCCAGGAACCGACCUAAUACUCAUUUGAAUAGAAUUGGAUGGCAAAAUGUGGUUAAUAAAUUUCGAGAGAAAGCAAAUAGAGCUUAUGACAAAAUACAAUUGAAAAAUAAAUGAGAUUCUCUUAGAAGGGAUUGGGUUUUAUGGAUGCAAUUAGUCGGUAAAGAAACAGGAUUAGGAUGGAAUCAUGCAAGGGGUACCAUUGAUGCCAGUCUUGAAUGGUGGGAGGAGAAAUUAAAGGUUAGUAUAAAAUAUAAUUUUUAGCUUAGUCAUACUGUAUGUUUUCUUUAUAAUUCUCAUGAAACAAAAUCCUAGAACUUUAACACUUUCUGGAUGGCAAUGGGUUCAAGAGACCUUACGAACCCCAGGGGAGAGUUAUAGAAUGCUUCGUAUGGAGUCUGAAGUAUUUAAAAGAUUAGCUUCGUUGCUUACUAAUAAUUAUGGUUUACAAUCAACUCGAGCAAUGCAUGCAGAGGAGGCGCUUGCGAUAUUUCUUUUGGUUUGUGGACACAAUGAAACAAAUUGUAAUAUUCAAAACCGUUUCAAGCAUUCAGGUGAAACAAUUAGUAGAAAAUUUAAUGAAGUUCUUGAUAGUUUAGUUCGAUUUUCUGUUGACAAAAUUAAACAGUUGGAUCCUUCAUUUAGUACAAUCCCUCCUCAAAUUCACAACAAUGUUAGGUUCUGGCCUCAUUUUGAAGGAGCUAUUGGUGCAAUUGAUGGAACACUUAUUCGUGCUGUUAUACCUAAAAAAGAUCAAAUUCCAUAUAUUGGUAGAAAGCCCUACCCAAUGCAAAAUAUAAUGGUUGUUUGUGAUUUCAAUAUGGUGUUCACAUUUGCUGUUGCCGGUUGGCCGGGAGCCACGCAUGAUGCAUGAAUUUUCACUACUACUUUGAAUAACUAUGGUCAUAUAUUUCCACAUCCUCCUGAAGGUAAGUACUAUCUUGUAGACGCAGGGUAUCCCAAUAUAAAAGGAUAUUUAGGACCUUAUGCUGGCGGAGAUGUUAGAUAUUAUUUUUCCGAAUUUAGACGGGGGUCUCAACCACGAGGUUAUAAAGCAGUGUUUAAUCAUGCACAUUCAUCCUUGAGGAAUGUUAUUGAACGAUCAUUUGGUGUACUUAAAGCACGGUGGCGUAUAUUACAAAUGAUGCAAGGUUAUCUAGUGCCAACUCAAUCAAAAAUAGUGUCUGCAACUAUGGCACUUCACAACUUUAUUAGGAUGAGUUCAACGCAAGAUGAAGAGUUCAACGCAAGAUGAAGAGUUCAACAAAUGUGAUCAAUAUAUAAAUUAUAUACCAAACAUUGAAGAAGAUGAAAGCAGUACAAGUAGUUCAACACAGACUUAUAGUGGAGUAACAGAUGAUUACAUCAUGACCCAAACUCGAGAUCGUAUUGCUGCAUCAUUGAUGAGUACAUUUUUAUAAAUUGUUAUCCUAAUGGAUAUUUAUCAUUAAGAUGGUUUUGUUA